UCGACUGGACUAUCUAUCUCAUAAGUGUUCCAUCAAUCAUAGGCGGCUCCUCGAAGCUGAAAAGCAGUGAAGGAAACCCCACUGGACUCCAGUAUGCCCAUAGUGUAAGGAAUACAGUGGCACUCCUCUAGAAAUCCCAAAGCAUCAUCUUUCACUAAUUCACUGAAAAUCGGAGGACCAUGCUUCUUGAACCUCUCCAACCUCCGCUGCUCG
rnacentral:lncRNA from 1 species